CUACGUGCCAGCAGCCGCGGUAAUACGUAGGGUGCGAGCGUUGUCCGGAAUUACUGGGCGUAAAGGGCUCGUAGGUGGUUUGUCGCGUCGUCUGUGAAAUUCUGGGGCUUAACUCCGGGCGUGCAGGCGAUACGGGCAUAACUUGAGUGCUGUAGGGGUAACUGGAAUUCCUGGUGUAGCGGUGAAAUGCGCAGAUAUCAGGAGGAACACCGAUGGCGAAGGCAGGUUACUGGGCAGUUACUGACGCUGAGGAGCGAAAGCAUGGGUAGCGAACAGGAUUAGAUACCCUGGUAGUCCAUGCCGUAAACGGUGGGCGCUAGGUGUGAGGGUCUUUCUACGACUUUCGUGCCGUAGCUAACGCAUUAAGCGCCCCGCCUGGGGAGUACGGCCGCAAGGCUAAAACUCAAAGGAAUUGACGGGGGCCCGCACAAGCGGCGGAGCAUGUGGAUUAAUUCGAUGCAACGCGAAGAACCUUACCUGGGCUU
rnacentral:rRNA from 1 species